rnacentral:sRNA from 1 species
CGGCGCCCUUUGACCCAGCUCCUCACCCCUGUCGCAGUGGCCCCGAGGUUCGAGUCUUGCUCUUCAAUGCUACCGGGGACCGGGACCCGGCGGCCCUGCUGAAGCUGCUGCAGCCCUGCCAGUUUGACUAUGCCGUCUUCUGCCCUAACCUGACAGAGGUGUCAUCCACAGGCAACGCAGACCAACAGAACUUCACAGUGACACUGGACCAGGUUCUGCUCCGCUGCCUGGAACACCAGCAGCACUGGAACCACCUGGACGAAGAGCAGGCCAGCCCGGACCUCUGGAGUGCCCCCAGCCCAGAGCCCGGUGGGUCCACAUCCCUGCUUCUGGCGCCCCACCCACCCCACACCUGCAGUGCCAGCUCCCUCGUCUUCAGCUGCAUUUCACAUGCCUUGCAAUGGAUCAGCCAAGGCCGAGACCCCAUCUUCCAGCCACCUAGUCCCCCAAAGGGCCUCCUCACCCACCCUGUGGCUCACAGUGGGGCCAGCAUACUCCGUGAGGCUGCUGCCAUCCAUGUGCUAGUCACUGGCAGCCUGCACCUGGUGGGUGGUGUCCUG